rnacentral:rRNA from 1 species
GACAGAGGGUGCAAACGUUGUUCGGAUUUACUGGGCGUAAAGCGCACGUAGGCGGAUUUGUAAGUCAGGGGUGAAAUCCCGGGGCUCAACCUCGGAACUGCCUUUGAUACUGCAAAUCUCGAGUCCGAUAGAGGUGGGUGGAAUUCCUAGUGUAGAGGUGAAAUUCGUAGAUAUUAGGAAGAACACCGGUGGCGAAGGCGGCCCACUGGAUCGGUACUGACGCUGAGGUGCGAAAGCGUGGGGAGCAAACAGG